UACGAGGGGGGCGAGCGUUGUUCGGAAUUAUUGGGCGUAAAGGGGGCGUAGGCGGUUUGGUAAGUCUUGUGUGAAAUCUUCGGGCUUAACUCGAAGUCUGCACUGGAAACUGCCGGGCUUGAGUGUGGGAGAGGUGAGUGGAAUUCUUGGUGUAGCAGUGAAAUGCGUAGAUAUCAAGAGGAACACCAGUGGCGAAGGCGAGUCCCUGGACAACUUCUGACGCUGAGGCACGAAAGCUAGGGGAGCAAACAGG
rnacentral:rRNA from 1 species